UGAGGAAGUAAAAGUCGUAACAAGGUCUCCGUUGGUGAACCAGCGGAGGGAUCAUUACAGAGUUAUCCAACUCCCAAACCCAUGUGAACAUAUCUCUUUGUUGCCUCGGCGCAAGCUACCCGGGACCUCGCGCCCCGGGCGGCCCGCCGGCGGACAAACCAAACUCUGUUAUCUUCGUUGAUUAUCUGAGUGUCUUAUUUAAUAAGUCAAAACUUUCAACAACGGAUCUCUUGGUUCUGGCAUCGAUGAAGAACGCAGCGAAAUGCGAUAAGUAAUGUGAAUUGCAGAAUUCAGUGAAUCAUCGAAUCUUUGAACGCACAUUGCGCCCAUUAGUAUUCUAGUGGGCAUGCCUGUUCGAGCGUCAUUUCAACCCCUAAGCACAGCUUAUUGUUGGGCGUCUACGUCUGUAGUGCCUCAAAGACAUUGGCGGAGCGGCAGCAGUCCUCUGAGCGUAGUAAUUCUUUAUCUCGCUUCUGUUAGGCGCUGCCCCCCCGGCCGUAAAACCCCCAAUUUUUUCUGGUUGACCUCGGAUCAGGUAGGAAUACCCGCUGAACUUAAGCAUAUCAAUA
rnacentral:rRNA from 1 species